AUGGACAAGAAGAGGGUGGCCAUCGUCGGCGCCGGCCUGAGUGGCCUGGCGGCGUGCAAGCACCUGCUGGAGCGCGGCUGCCGGCCGACCGUCUUCGAGGCGGACACCGUCCUCGGCCGCGUGUGGGCGCACGCACCAGAGUGCACCAGGCUCCAGACGCCACGGCCCAUGUUCCAGUACUCCGACUUCCCGUGGCCGGAGUCUGUCACGGAGGUGUUCCCGGACCACCGCCAGGUCGCCGACUACCUCGACGCCUACGCACGCCACUUCGGCGUGCUCGACUGCAUCAGGUUCGGCCGCAGGGUGGUCGGGAUGGAGUAUGUGGGCGUCGGCGAGGAGGAGGUGGCGGCGUGGGAGGACUGGGCUGGGUGCGGCGAGGCGUUUGGUUCCGGCGAUGGCGAGUGGCAGCUCACGGUGGCCGACGUCGACGGUCUCAUGGAGGUACACAAGGCAGACUUUGUGAUCCUUUGUAUUGGGAGGUUCAGUGGUGUGCCCAACAUACCUACAUUUCCAGUUGGCAAAGGCCCAGAAGUGUUUGACGGGAAAGUGAUCCACUCCAUGGAGUACUCGAAAAUGGGAGGCAAAAAUGCUAGAGAUAUGAUCAAGGACAAGCAUGUGACUGUUAUUGGCUACCUGAGAUCAGCAGUAGACAUUGCAAAUGAGUGUGCCAACGUCAAUGGUACCGAAAAACCAUGCACGAUGGUAGUACGAACAAAGAGUUGGAAUAUACCAGACUACUAUGCUUGGGGCGUCCACAUUUCAAAUUUCUAUCUCACCCGUCUCUCCGAACUACUUAUUCACAAGCCUGGUGAAGGCUUUCUCCUCAACAUGUUGGCUACUGUCUUGACUCCACUGAGGUUGAUUUUUUCGAAGUUUGUUGAGAGCUACUACUCAAUUGCAAUGAGGAAGCAUGACAUGGUGCCUGACCAUAGCUUUUUUGAGGGAUUAGUGGCAUGUGUAGCUGCCAUUGCACCAAAGGAUCAUUACAAGAAUCUGGAGGAAGGUAGCAUCGUUCUUAAGAAGUCAAAAACAUUCAGCUUUUGUGAAGAAGGUGUGCAUUUUGAAGGUGAAUGUACUCCAGUAAAGAGUGACAUUGUUAUCUUCGGAACAGGAUUCAACGGUGAUCAAAAGAUCAAGGACAUGUUCACAUCAGAAUACUUUCGGAGCAUAGUCGUUGGCUCAACAUCAACGACCGUGCCACUUUAUAGGGAGUGCAUCCAUCCAAAGAUUCCACAGCUCGCGGUCAUCGGCUAUUCCGAGAGCUUGACAAAUAUCUAUACAACAGAGCUUAUGUCCAAGUGGAUAUCACAUUUUAUGGAUGGUGGUUUCAGAUUGCCAAGUGUCAGAGAAAUGCAGAGGGAUGUCCUUGAAUGGGAGAAGUUCAUGAAGCGCUACUCUCGAGACUAUUUCCGUAGGUCAUGUGUUGGAAUUGUUCAUAUAUGGUACAAUGAUCAACUAUGCCAGGACAUGGGAUGCAACCCAAGAAGGAAGAAGGGUUUUUUCUCUGAAUUAUUUGAGCCUUAUGGUCCUUGUGAUUAUGUUAAUCUUCACCCCAAGUAA
rnacentral:rRNA from 1 species